UCACAACCUACUAAACUUUCAAAAUUCCAAGUUUAGUAAUAAAAACCAUAUAUUCUACAACUUUAGUUAAACUUAAAAUUAAAUAAGGAAUGUAUACCUUAAGCUUCUCAACUUCAAUUAAUCCAAGCUUUGAUCUUCCUUAAUUAUUCUAAUCUUGCAACCAAUUUGCUAAAUCUUCACAAACUCAUAGUUCCAUCACUUUACCAUACUUGGAAAAUUUUCAAAAUUCUAAACAAUAUAGAAAGAGAAAUUCGGC
rnacentral:lncRNA from 1 species